AUCUACAGCCAUACCACCCUGAAUGCACCCGAUCUCAUCUGAUCUCGGAAACUAAGCAGGAUUUGGCCUCGUUAGUACUUGGAUGGGAGACCAUGGCUGUUAGACCAAGAAAGAUU
rnacentral:rRNA from 1 species